CCUCGGGAGGCAGCAGUGGGGAAUAUUGGACAAUGGGCGAAAGCCUGAUCCAGCCAUGCCGCGUGUGUGAAGAAGGCCUUCGGGUUGUAAAGCACUUUCAGUGGGGAAGAAAGCCUUGGGGCUAAUACCCUCGAGGAAGGACAUCACCCACAGAAGAAGCACCGGCUAACUCCGUGCCAGCAGCCGCGGUAAUACGGAGGGUGCGAGCGUUAAUCGGAAUUACUGGGCGUAAAGCGCGCGUAGGCGGUCUGAUAAGCCGGUUGUGAAAGCCCCGGGCUCAACCUGGGAACGGCAUCCGGAACUGUCAGGCUAGAGUGCAGGAGAGGAAGGUAGAAUUCCCGGUGUAGCGGUGAAAUGCGUAGAGAUCGGGAGGAAUACCAGUGGCGAAGGCGGCCUUCUGGACUGACACUGACGCUGAGGUGCGAAAGCGUGGGUAGCAAACAGGAUUAGAUACCCGAGUAGUC
rnacentral:rRNA from 1 species